GAUGAAGAACGCAGUGAAAUGCGAUACGUAAUGUGAAUUGCAGAUUUCAGUGAAUCAUCGAAUCUUUGAACGCACAUUGCGCCCGCUAGUAUUCUGGCGGGCAUGCCUGUUCGAGCGUCAUUUCAACCAUCAAGCCCUGUGCUUGUGUUGGAGCCCUGCGGCUGCCGCAGGCUCCCAAACCCAGUGGCGGGCUCGUCGUCGUACCGAGUGCAGUAAACAUACCACGCUCAGGGCACGCGACGGGUGACCGGCCGUAAAACCCCCCCCUUCUCAAGGUUGACCUCGGAUCAGGUAGGAAUACCCGCUGAACUUAAGCAUAUCAAUAAGCGGAGGA
rnacentral:misc_RNA from 1 species